AGAGUUUGAUCCUGGCUCAGGAUGAACGUUGGCGGUGUACCUAAUACAUGCAAGUCGAACGGAGUUAAUAGCAAUAUUGACUUAGUGGCGAACGGGUGAGUAACGCGUUGGUGAUCUGCCUCGAAGUGUGGAAUAACGUUCCGAAAGGAUCGCUAAUACCGCAUGUGCUCUCGAUUUUUAGAAAGUUGAGAGUAAAGGAUUUAUUCGCUUCGAGAGGAGCCUGCGUCCCAUCAGCUGGUUGGUAGGGUAACGGCCUACCAAGGCUAUGACGGGUAGGGGACCUGAGAGGGUGGCCCCCCACAAUGGAACUGAAACACGGUCCAUACACCUACGGGUGGCAGCAGUAGGGAAUAUUAGAAAUGGACGAAAGUCUGAUCUAGCAACACCGCGUGUGCGAAGAAGGCCUUCGGGUCGUAAAGCACUUUUUGGAAGGAAUAGGAAGGAAUGUACUUCCAGAAUAAGUCUCGGCUAACUACGUGCCAGCAGCCGCGGUAACACGUAGGAGGCAAACGUUAUCCGGAUUUACUGGGCGUAAAGCGCGUGUAGGUGGUACUGUAAGUAGGGCGUGAAAGCUCCCGGCUCAACUGGGAGAGGCCGUUCUAAACUGCAGAACUAGAGGAUGGUAGAGGGAGGUGGAAUUCCAGGUGUAGCGGUGGAAUGCGCAGAUAUCUGGAGGAACACCAGUGGCGAAGGCGGCCUCCUGGACCAUUCCUGACACUCAGACGCGAAAGCUAGGGUAGCAAACGGGAUUAGAGACCCCGGUAGUCCUAGCCCUAAACGAUGUAGACUAGGCGUCGGUGGUUUAAUCACCAUCGGUGUCCAAGCUAACGCGAUAAGUCUACCGCCUGGGGACUACGGCCGCAAGGUUAAAACUCAAAGGAAUUGACGG
rnacentral:rRNA from 1 species